AGAGUUUGAUCCUGGCUCAGAUUGAACGCUGGCGGCAGGCCUAACACAUGCAAGUCGAGCGGUAGCACAGAGAGCUUGCUCUCGGGUGACGAGCGGCGGACGGGUGAGUAAUGUCUGGGAAACUGCCUGAUGGAGGGGGAUAACUACUGGAAACGGUAGCUAAUACCGCAUAAUGUCGCAAGACCAAAGUGGGGGACCUUCGGGCCUCAUGCCAUCAGAUGUGCCCAGAUGGGAUUAGCUAGUAGGUGGGGUAACGGCUCACCUAGGCGACGAUCCCUAGCUGGUCUGAGAGGAUGACCAGCCACACUGGAACUGAGACACGGUCCAGACUCCUACGGGAGGCAGCAGUGGGGAAUAUUGCACAAUGGGCGCAAGCCUGAUGCAGCCAUGCCGCGUGUGUGAAGAAGGCCUUCGGGUUGUAAAGCACUUUCAGCGGGGAGGAAGGCGUUAAGGUUAAUAACCUUGGCGAUUGACGUUACCCGCAGAAGAAGCACCGGCUAACUCCGUGCCAGCAGCCGCGGUAAUACGGAGGGUGCAAGCGUUAAUCGGAAUUACUGGGCGUAAAGCGCACGCAGGCGGUCUGUCAAGUCGGAUGUGAAAUCCCCGGGCUCAACCUGGGAACUGCAUUCGAAACUGGCAGGCUAGAGUCUUGUAGAGGGGGGUAGAAUUCCAGGUGUAGCGGUGAAAUGCGUAGAGGUCUGGAGGAAUACCGGUGGCGAAGGCGGCCCCCUGGACAAAGACUGACGCUCAGGUGCGAAAGCGUGGGGAGCAAACAGGAUUAGAUACCCUGGUAGUCCACGCCGUAAACGAUGUCGAUUUGGAGGUUGUGCCCUUGAGGCGUGGCUUCCGGAGCUAACGCGUUAAAUCGACCGCCUGGGGAGUACGGCCGCAAGGUUAAAACUCAAAUGAAUUGACGGGGGCCCGCACAAGCGGUGGAGCAUGUGGUUUAAUUCGAUGCAACGCGAAGAACCUUACCUGGUCUUGACAUCCACAGAACUUUCCAGAGAUGGAUUGGUGCCUUCGGGAACUGUGAGACAGGUGCUGCAUGGCUGUCGUCAGCUCGUGUUGUGAAAUGUUGGGUUAAGUCCCGCAACGAGCGCAACCCUUAUCCUUUGUUGCCAGCGGUCCGGCCGGGAACUCAAAGGAGACUGCCAGUGAUAAACUGGAGGAAGGUGGGGAUGACGUCAAGUCAUCAUGGCCCUUACGACCAGGGCUACACACGUGCUACAAUGGCAUAUACAAAGAGAAGCGACCUCGCGAGAGCAAGCGGACCUCAUAAAGUAUGUCGUAGUCCGGAUUGGAGUCUGCAACUCGACUCCAUGAAGUCGGAAUCGCUAGUAAUCGUAGAUCAGAAUGCUACGGUGAAUACGUUCCCGGGCCUUGUACACACCGCCCGUCACACCAUGGGAGUGGGUUGCAA
rnacentral:rRNA from 1 species